UACGUAGGUGGCGAGCGUUGUCCGGAUUUACUGGGCGUAAAGGGAGCGUAGGCGGACUUUUAAGUGAGAUGUGAAAUACCCGGGCUUAACUUGGGUGCUGCAUUUCAAACUGGAAGUCUAGAGUGCAGGAGAGGAGAAUGGAAUUCCUAGUGUAGCGGUGAAAUGCGUAGAGAUUAGGAAGAACACCAGUGGCGAAGGCGAUUCUCUGGACUGUAACUGACGCUGAGGCUCGAAAGCGUGGGGAGCAAACAGGAUUAGAUACCCGGGUAGUCCCU
rnacentral:rRNA from 1 species